UCGGCGCGGCGCUGAAUGCGCUCCAUUAGCAUGAGAAAAGAGGAGCAAAGCUCCGCGCCCAGCAGCUAAAGAGCAGCUCCGCGGGCCGGCGCUGGGAACCCGCUUGAUUAGUGUCUGUCUGGGGGGAAGCUGGGGGAAAGGGAAUUUAUUUGCCUUAAAUCCCGGGGACACGGACACAAACACCACCACCACCCCCCCCCGCCGCAGCCCGCUCGGGGGAUACCGUUUAUCCCGCAAAUCUAAUUAGAGAUCCGCGGGGACGUUGAUGCGGAUGAUGGAGCCCGCGGAGAAACCGGGAAAAUAGGGGGGAAAGGGGGAAAAAUAAGAGGAGAAAAGGGGCUAAAAGGAGGGGAAAGGGGGGGGCUUGCGGGAAAGGGUGGAAAACCACGGGCAAACCCCGCUCGGGUCGGGGUUAGCGGCUGAAGCGCCUGCGAAAGGAGCCGGCGCUUGUCAGGCAGCAGCGGCUUGUUCCCGAAACACCGUUCUGUGGAGGAGGAGGAGGGAAAAUAGGGGGAAAAAAAAGGAGCCGGAGCCCAAAGAGUGGCUCUGCAAUUUAUUCCGAUGGGUGGCUUUUAAGAAGCUGGCAAUUUGAGGCGGCUGGGUGUUAUUUAGUGCAAUAUGAAAUCAAAUGAUCCUAUUUCUGAAAUAACAGUGUCUGGGAGGAGAAGGGAAGGCUCCAGGAAGGGAACUGACUCCUGGGAGCCGGGAGCAGCCCGGCGCCGGUGUCCGCGUCCCGGUCCCCGCUGAAGUCACCUUUCCGCGCCGGAGCCCAGGGAAACUCAACACCAUCAACCUCCGCUUUCCUCUUCAGACAGCAGCAGAUGCUUAGAUGGACACCGGCUAAUUCCUUGUGUCUACAUUGUAGAAACAGGAGCGACUCUGAAUUACUGGGAAAGCAGAGGCCUGAAAUCUGCCAGCCAUCCCCUCCAGACCUCUGGCCAUGGAAAAGCCAGGUCACAGCUGGUCCCUUCUGGUCUUGGAGCCUCCUGUGCCAUGGAGGAGGCUCAAAAAGCACUCAGAUGGCAUGUGCUUGUAUCUAAAUUCUCCAGGAUUAAUUCGAACUUCACCGACAAUGACAUUACCAGGGACUGUUCAAUUAUGUCAACAGGCUUUGGAUAAGGCCCUUGUGUUCUUAAUAAACGUUAUAUAGUUUUAAAUGCUGUAGUCUUGUUCUUAAGGUUCUUAUUCAAUCAGCCGUUACCAUCGGCUCCGGUGUUAACACUUCACCUGUCGUCCAACAGCAGAACCCUCCUCCAUCAGCCAGGCAGUGUGCUGUCUAUCUAUACCUCAGAACAUGUAAUAGCAGGUUUCCAGGAACUGUAACAUUUAAUAAAAGCCUUUUAUUGCCUUUAAAUUUAUUAAAAUUUAAACAUUAAA